UGUGAUUCGUCACACUAUCAUUAACUGAAUCCAUAGGUUAAUGAGGCGAACCGGGGGAACUGAAACAUCUAAGUACCCCGAGGAAAAGAAAUCAACCGAGAUUCCCCCAGUAGCGGCGAGCGAACGGGGAGCAGCCCAGAGCCUGAAUCAGUGUGUGUGUUAGUGGAAGCGUCUGGAAAGGCGCGCGAUACAGGGUGACAGCCCCGUACACAAAAAUGCACAUACUGUGAGCUCGAUGAGUAGGGCGGGACACGUGGUAUCCUGUCUGAAUAUGGGGGGACCAUCCUCCAAGGCUAAAUACUCCUGACUGACCGAUAGUGAACCAGUACCGUGAGGGAAAGGCGAAAAGAACCCCGGCGAGGGGAGUGAAAAAGAACCUGAAACCGUGU
rnacentral:rRNA from 1 species